rnacentral:sRNA from 1 species
AAAGAUAUAAAGAAGGAGACAAUCAGAACGGAACCAAUGAGUC